AAUGGAACCCGGCUGCUGCUGCUCCCGUCCAGUACCCGCAGACACAGCAGUUUCCAUUCC
rnacentral:pre_miRNA from 1 species